rnacentral:rRNA from 1 species
UACGUAGGGGGCAAGCGUUGUCCGGAAUCAUUGGGCGUAAAGAGCGUGUAGGCGGCCCGAUAAGUCCGCUGUGAAAGUCCAGGGCUCAACCCUGGGAUGCCGGUGGAUACUGUCGGGCUCGAGUCCGGAAGAGGAGUGUGGAAUUCCUGGUGUAGCGGUGAAAUGCGCAGAUAUCAGGAGGAACACCAAUGGCGAAAGCGAGCCUCUGGACAGUUGCUGACGCUGUGGCACGAAGGCUAGGGGAGCAAACGGG